rnacentral:rRNA from 1 species
UACAGAGGUCUCAAGCGUUGUUCGGAUUCAUUGGGCGUAAAGGAUGCGUAGGUGGCGGGGUAAGUCAGGUGUGAAAUUUCGGAGCUUAACUCCGAAACUGCAUUUGAUACUGCCUUGCUUGAGGACUGGAGAGGAGACUGGAAUUCAUGGUGUAGCAGUGAAAUGCGUAGAGAUCAUGAGGAAGACCAGUGGCGAAGGCGGGUCUCUGGGCCGGAACUGACGCUAAGGAGCGAAAGCGUGGGGAGCGAACAGG